rnacentral:rRNA from 1 species
GACGUAGGGUGCGAGCGUUGUCCGGAUUUAUUGGGCGUAAAGAGCUCGUAGGCGGCUUGUUGCGUCAGCUGUGAAAACCCGCGGCUUAACCGUGGGCCUGCAGCUGAUACGGGCAAGCUAGAGUUCGGUAGGGGAGACUGGAAUUCCUGGUGUAGCGGUGAAAUGCGCAGAUAUCAGGAGGAACACCGGUGGCGAAGGCGGGUCGCUGGUCCGAUACUGACGCUGAGGAGCGAAAGCGUGGGGAGCGAACAGG